CGGUGAAGCCCCGCUUGCGGGGUGGAUCAAGUGGCGAACGGGUGAGUAACACGUGAGCAAUCUGCCCCUGACUCUGGGAUAAGCGCUGGAAACGGCGUCUAAUACUGGAUACGAACCGUGGAGGCAUCUUCGACGGUUGGAAAGAUUUUUUGGUCAGGGAUGAGCUCGCGGCCUAUCAGCUUGUUGGUGAGGUAAUGGCUCACCAAGGCGUCGACGGGUAGCCGGCCUGAGAGGGUGACCGGCCACACUGGGACUGAGACACGGCCCAGACUCCUACGGGAGGCAGCAGUGGGGAAAUAUUGCACAAUGGGCGGAAGCCUGAUGCAGCAACGCCGCGUGAGGGAUGACGGCCUUCGGGUUGUAAAGCACUUUUGUCAGGGAGAAUGGCAGUUGAGGUUAAUACCCUUAGCUGUUGAUGUUACCUGAAGAAUAAGCA
rnacentral:rRNA from 1 species